UUUGUUUUCUGAUAUUGCCACGCCACCUCCUCCCCCCACCCCCACUCUGUUCUUGCUCUUAUCAUCUGUGACAGCAGAAGGCACCCUUCUACUUUGGUUUUUUCCUAGGUGGCCUUUUGGAGAAAGAAGGAAGAAUCUGCAGUCUCUUAAUGCCACUGUAAGGAGGGUAGAAGACAUGGCUUUGCUGAUGGCACUGCCUUAGGUCUAUCUGGUUGUAGAGUAGGGUCUGGGACCUGCCAAGGUUCUGCUACCGUUGCUGCUGAAGACAGUGGCCUUAAAUAGUGCCAUAGCUAGGGCUCUGGCUGUGGGACAGCACUAUGCUUGGUCCUGAAAACCUGACUAGGAAUGGUGAGGGAAUAAAGAAGGACACAGACACACAGACACAGACACAGGCACAGAAAAACUGGGGUCAGGUGGGCUGUGCUGAUGGAGGAACCACAACAGGACAGAAGCUCAGUAUGUCUAUUAUAUACAGUUGGACAGGAUUAUUAUACAGAGCUAAACAAGAAGGCAGAGUUACAUACAGAUAACAAGGAGACAUUUGAACGUUGCAUACAACUGAACAAGGAGGCAGAUUCAGCUAAUCUCUGUAGGAACAGACUCUAAUGGAGCAGUCUUCAGCCCAUAAACAUCUGGAAGAAGAAAGCCACACUGGACAUUUUCUACACUGUCAACAUUCACACUCAAACCAGAGGAAGUCUUUGCUGUCUCUCUAACCUCACCCAGGGAAAGUUUUGCCGCUCCCAUGUGUCUGAUGCAGGUGGAUUGUAUGGUCCUGGCUGUAGUGCAGUAUAUGCAUCUUGAAGGAAUCUGGCUUUCCACAAGUGUCAAUGGCUGGCUCUUUUCCUCUUGUUCGUAUUCAUGCAGAAGAAAAAAGCAGGAUGUUGGAGGAGGAUUUGUUGACUGACAAUGGUCACUACAGGACAGAGCAGGACUGCAGAUAGUAGACAGCUUUCUCCCAAGCAGCAACUGUUGAGCAUUGCCAAGCAGCUGGGAAUGAUGGCAGAACUGACUUUGGUUAGAUGGCCUUGAGGACCUCAAGGGUGCUGACACAGCCCUACUUACCUACUCCCCACAUCUCUGUGGGGUCCCUUAAAUGCUGGUAUCCCCUUUCCUUUGUGUUAGGAUCCUAGGACCUUUAUGCAUGGACUUCCAUUUCUAUGAGAUUUUGAGAAAACAGCAGAAAAGCAAUGCACACAGCUAAGUCAGUUGCCAUUCAAGAAUUUGUUUCCAGCUCCCAGGUAUUGCUGGUGUUUCCCCCUUCUUUUUUGACCAUGCUUAUAAUUUCAUGUGUGUGCAAAAGCACACACUCAUCCCUCCAUAUUUUGGGGGAAUGGUUACAGGACCACUCCCCCAGAUACCCAAACCCAAGAAGGCAUAAGCCUUUUUAUAAAAUGGCAUAUAAAUUUGUGUGUGUGUGUGUGUGUGUGUGUGUGUGAACAUGCACACUCAUGUAUAUCCUCCCAUAGACUUUAAGUUAGCUCUAGACUCCUUGCAAUAUCCAAUACAAUGUAAUUACUGUGUAACUGAUUGCUGUAG
rnacentral:lncRNA from 1 species